GAUCAUGGCUCAGAACGAACGCUGGCGGCAUGGAUUAGGCAUGCAAGUCGAACGGGAGCAGCAAUGCUCCAGUGGCGCAAGGGUGAGGAACACGUGAACAACCUGCCUUCGAGUUGGGGAUAGCUUCUGGAAACGGGAGAUAAUACCGAAUAACAUCACCGGGUCGCAUGACCUGGUGAUCAAAGCAGCAAUGCGCCUGAAGAGGGGUUCGCGUCCCAUUAGCUAGUUGGUGAGGUAACGGCCCACCAAGGCGAUGAUGGGUAGCUGGUCUGAGAGGACGAUCAGCCACAUUGGGACUGAGAUACUGCCCAGACUCCUACGGGAGGCUGCAGUCGAGAAUUUUGGGCAAUGGACGAAAGUCUGAACCCCCAGCAAUGCCGCGUGCGGGAUGAAGGUCUUCGGAUUGUAAACCGCUGUCAAGAGGGACGAAAUUUGACGGUACCUCUGGAGGAAGCCACGGCUAACUACGUGCCAGCCGCGGC
rnacentral:rRNA from 1 species